rnacentral:rRNA from 1 species
UGAGGAACAUGACCUUCGGCGGGGGAUAGCCGGCCCAACGGCCGGGUAAUACCGCGUACGACCACAUGGGGACAUCCCUGAGUGGUGAAAGCAGCAAUGCGCCGAGUGGAGUGCCUCGCGGCCUAUCAGCUAGUUGGUGAGGUAACGGCUCACCAAGGCGACGACGGGUAGCUGGUCUGAGAGGAUGGCCAGCCACAUUGGGACUGAGACACGGCCCAGAUCCCGUACGGGG